rnacentral:rRNA from 1 species
AGAGUUUGAUCCUGGCUCAGGACGAACGCUGACGGUGUGCUUUAGACAUGCAAGUCGAACGAGAAAGCCCUUCGGGGUGAGUAAAGUGGCGAACGGGUGAGUAACACGUGGGCAAUCUGCCCCUCGCAGGGGGACAACCGGGGGAAACCCCGGCUAAUACCCCGUAAGCUCGAAAGGCCGCAUGGCCCUUUGAGGAAAGGUAGCUUCGGCCAUCCGGCGAGGGAUGAGCCCGCGGUGCAUUAGCUUGUUGGUGGGGUAACGGCCCACCAAGGCGACGAUGCAUAGCUGGUCUGAGAGGAUGAUCAGCCGCACUGGGACUGAGACACGGCCCAGACUCCUACGGGAGGCAGCAGUGGGGAAUUUUCCGCAAUGGGCGAAAGCCUGACGGAGCAAGACCGCGUGAGGGAGGAAGGCUCUUGGGUCGUAAACCUCUUUUGUCAGGGAAGAACAAAAUGACGGUACCUGACGAAUCAGCAUCGGCUAACUCCGUGCCAGCAGCCGCGGUAAUACGGAGGAUGCAAGCGUUAUCCGGAAUUAUUGGGCGUAAAGCGUCCGCAGGUGGCUAAUCAAGUCUGCCGUCAAAGACCGUAGCUCAACUACGGAAAGGCGGUGGAAACUGAUAAGCUAGAGUGCAGUAGGGGUAGAGGGAAUUCCCAGUGUAGCGGUGAAAUGCGUAGAGAUUGGGAAGAACACCGGUGGCGAAAGCGCUCUGCUGGACUGCAACUGACACUCAUGGACGAAAGCUAGGGGAGCGAAUGGGAUUAGAUACCCCGGUAGUCC